UAAAAGCUUGGUCCUGACUUUUCUAUCAGCUCUAACUAAACUUACACAUGCAAGUAUCCGCAUUCCCGUGAGUAACGCCCUAUAAUUUUCCACCCGAAAACAAGGAGCUGGUAUCAGGCACAAUCUUAUUUAGCCCACGACACCUAGCUUAGCCACACCCCUAAGGGAAUUCAGCAGUGAUAAACAUUAAGCAAUGAGUGAAAGCUCGACUUAGUUAUAGAUAUUUUAGGGCCGGUCAAGCUCGUGCCAGCCACCGCGGUUAUACGAGAGGCCCAAGUUGAUAGCUAUCGGCGUAAAGCGUGAUUAGGGAAAAUAAAAACUAAGGUCGAAUAUUUUCACUGCUGUUAUACGCAUAUGAAAACAUGAAAAUCACCUACGAAAGUGGCCUUAACAUAGCCUGAAUACACGAAAACUAUGGGACAAACUGGGAUUAGGUACCCCACUAUGCAUAGCCGUAAACUUUGAUAAAACAUUACUUUUUUAUCCGCCAGGGGACUACAAGCAUAAGCUUAAAACCCAAAGGACUUGGCGGUGCUUUAGACCCACCUAGAGGAGCCUGUUCUAGAACCGAUAACCCCCGUUAAACCUCACCCCUUCUUGUUAUUUACCGCCUAUAUACCGCCGUCGUCAGCUUACCUUGUGAAAGAAUAAAAGUAAACAAAAACGGUUUAAACCCAAAACGUCAGGUCGAGGUGUAGCGAAUGAAGAGGGAAGAAAUGGGCUACAUUUCCUGUAUUCAGGAAAUAACGGAAUAUAUUAUGAAAUGAAUAUAUGAAGGAGGAUUUAGCAGUAAAUGGAAAAUAGAGUGUUCCAUUGAAACUGGCCCUGAAGCGCGCACACACCGCCCGUCACUCUCCCCGAACCUGUAUAAUUAAUUAAAUAAAACACUAGUUUGGUACAAGGGGAGGCAAGUCGUAACAUGGUAAGUGUACCGGAAGGUGUACUUGGAAAAAA
rnacentral:ncRNA from 1 species